UUUGAUUACAUCCAGUUGUGAUUCAUAAGUUGUGAAUUCAAUUUACUUAUCCGUUCAUAUAAAAACUGAUUUGUGUAUGUUGGUUGAGAGUGCACGCUUAAUUUUCAUGCAUGAAUUUGACGCUAGAAUAUAAGGGAGUUUCACCUAAUUGUUAUGAACUUAUAUUCACAAGUAGUGAAGGUUGCUAGUCACAAUCACGUUAAGUAAAUUCUUGGCAUAAGUUUCAUGCAAAUCAUAGUAACGAGUGCCUCGUCAAUGCUUAUGUUUUUCAUAAAACUUAAUGAUUCUUGCUUGUAUCUCUAUUAUGCAAUUCAUGUAGGGAACUUGUAGGGAAUGUUUUGGGUUGUCGUAUGCAAUCAUCCAACCCAAUAACUUGUGGAAAAACUGAGGGUUAAUUAGUGCAAUUCACGGUUAAUUUGGGCCGUUGAGUAUUCAUAGUUUAUCGAAAAGCAACUGAAAAUCGUUUUGUAUGCAAGUGUGACAUGUGUGGAGAAGAACCUCCUAGCUAGCCUUCCAUCCAUAAGUUUCAUUCAAAUUCAUUUACAAUCUGUUUUGUUUUACAAGUUUGUUUUGUUUUCAAAUUCGUCAAGAACCAAUCUCCCAUUUAUUUCAAAGUGUUAGAUUAGUUAGUAAUCACUUUAGUUUGUGUUUUUAAGUGUCUUGAGUCAAGUCAUAACCCAAUUUCGUCCAAUUUAGUGUUAGGUGUUCAAAACUGCCCAGAAAGUGUUUUUAAGGCAGUUUUGAGUGUUUAUUUGCUGUUUUGAAUCUUUUUGUUUAUCUUAGUAUUUUAAAGUAUAGUUUUGCAUUCUUUGAGUGUAGUUUAGUGUUGUAAACUUUGUUUUUACGUUUUCAAGUCAGUUUCCAAGUGAUUUAGCAAUCCCUCCUAAUCCCGGGCCUAGAACGAUCCCUACUUACAUACUUUACUACAUUUGAUAAAAAGAGGGUUUAAUUUGUGUGUUAAGUUAAUUUUCGCAUCAAUAUCGCGUCAAAACGGUAGAUUAAAUAAACACUUAUGAGUUAAUAUUAUACUUCCAUUAACUAGUGUAAAUAUUUUAAAUUGAAGAUCAAAUUUAUUCAUUGCAUUCUUAUAGGGUUGAGGAGUAUAGCUGCAAAAAAUCAUUAAAAUCAAAGCUAAAAUAACUGUUAAAUUAUAAUUUUUCAUUUAUAACCGUCGAAAAAAAUCAUUUAUAUAUGUUAAAUCAGAGCUAAAAUCUUUGAAUGUUUGUUUUUUACAAUUUUUUACGUAUGCAAUCUCGGAGUGUGUACAAAUAAGUUUUAUGGUUGGAUCGUUGAAAAAAGUUUCGUAGAAUGCAUAUCGCAUCAAAACGGUAGAUUAAACAAACACUUAGAGUUAAUAUUAUACUUCCAUCAAGUAUAAAGUAAGAUUAGUGUAAAUAUUUUAAAUUGAAGAUCAAAUUUAUUCAUUGCAUUCUUAUAGGAUCGAGGAGUGUAGCUGUAAAAAAUCAUUGAAAUCGGAGCUAAGAUAACCGUUAAAUUGUGAUUUUUCGUUUAUAACCGUUGAAAACUUUUGUUCUGUUACGUAAUCUCUGAAUGUUUAUUUUUACAAUUUUUUUACGUAUGCAAUCUUGGAGUGUGUACAAAUAAGUUUGACGAUUGGAUCGUUGAAAAAAGUUUUGUAGAAUUCUUGGAUGCACUUGCUACCCAAGUUGGAGCAUUUUAGGUGUUUUCUUUCCUUUGAUUUUAAUGUCUAAUUUUAUGUAUCUUUGCUUUGUGAGUAUGAGGAACUAAACCCCUCUUAGUUAGGGGGUGAUUCGAAACCAUGUUCAUACUUGCAAUAUGAUUUGAUUACAUCCAGUUGUGAUUCAUAAGUUGUGAAUUCAAUUUACUUAUCCGAUCGUAUAAAAAAUGAUUUGUGUAUGUUGGUUGAGAGUGCACGCUUAAUUUUCAUGCAUGAAUUUAACGCUAGAAUAUAAGGGAGUUUCACCUAAUCGUUAUGAACUUAUAUUCACAAGUAGUGAAGGUUGCUAGUCACAAUCACGUUAAGUAAAUUCUUGGCAUAAGUUUCAUGCAAAUCAUAGUAACGAGUGCCUCGUCAAUGCUUAUGUUUUUCAUAGAACUUAAUGAUUCUUGCUUGUAUCUCUAUUAUGCAAUUCAUGUAGGGAACUUGUAGGGAAUGUUUUGGGUUGUCGUAUGCAAUCAUCCAAUCCAAUAACUUGUGGAAAAACUGAGGGUUAAUUAGUGCAAUUCACGGUUAAUUUGGGGCGUUGAGUAUUCAUAGCUUAUCGAAAAGCAACUGGAAAUCGUUUUGUAUGCAAGUGUGACAUGUGUGGAGAAGAACCUCCUAGCUAGCCUUCCAUCCAUAAGUUUUGUUGAUGCACAAAAUCAGCGAAGACUUUGGUACAACAGAAAGUGUCAGGUUUUAUG
rnacentral:lncRNA from 1 species